GCAGGAUAAGAGCCAAAAUUAUAGAUGCAAUUAAAGGGAUGUAUCAUACACUAGAUAGUGACAGCCCGUGCCAGCAUAUAGAAGCUGAAACUUUUAUUUUUUAUCAAACUUUGAUUUGAUAUAAAACUACAGAUAACAAAAGUCGAGGCAUUUAGGUAACUAUCAAAUCAAAUAAUAAUACUAACUGAUCAACAUCCAUAUAGAAACAAAAUAUCCAUUCUCAGAUGUUGCAUAGUUGCAAGAAGACACAUUCUUUACAUUGAUACAGAUAAAAUGUGAUGCAUUCAUAAUGCUAUAAUGAACCUUCUCUGCAGUCUUUGACAAAAGAUAACGAUAAAAUGUGAUGCAUUCAUAAUGCAUAAUGAGUCUUCUCUGCAGUCUUUGACAAAAGACAACGGCAAUGUAGGCACCAGUAAAAGCAAUAAAUAAUGAUCAAGUGCCAAUCACCGUCUAACAUGACAAUACCAAUUUAUACCCAUGCAAGUACUUAUACUCAAUACCUUCAAUGUAUACAUAAAAAGCUCUCUUCUUGCAAAAAGGUCACAGGUUCUGCAAAUAGCUUAAACCUCACAUGGUAAUUAACUUGCAUUGUAAUUAAUACCUAAUGCAAGUGGGGGUGGGGGUGGGGGGGGGGAGAGAGAGAUAGAGAGAGGUGUCAAAUUCUUUUGUGUUAAAAGAUUGGCUUGUGUCGUACUCUUUUAUAAGAGGUAGACGCAAGGAAUGAAAUUAUCAAAUUAAAAAUUAGGAAUAUUGCCCCAAAUAAACUAAUUUCAAUAAAGCAAAUAAACACGGGGAUAACAAAUAAAUUUAUUGAGAGUUCACAAUGCGAUGAAAGCUGAGACGUUAAUAAGACAAAUGCUUUGUUGUUGCAAUUUCCGCCCAUGCAUAAAAGCAAUAAGCACAUCUUCUGAAACUUAAAAUUAAAGCUACUAGUAGGUUACCAAAAGAAGAAACCAUUAUUCAUAUUGAAUUAAGAAAAUGAGCAAACUUCAUAACAAAAAAAAAAGAGCAAUUGUUCUGUAAAAAAAAAAGAAUUUUUAUCUCAGAACAUUUAAUCUAUUUCUACCACACUACUAAGAAAAAGAAUUAGCAUAGAGCCUUAGUAUAUUUGGAGCAACUCAGAAAAUUUGUCACGUCGACUUCGGAAUUGGUAGCUACUAUUAGUAAGUAGUGAGACAGAGAAGAUAACUUUGGUUCAUUAAGUAAAUUAACACACCCUUAACGUUUUAGCAAAAUCGCAACUUUAAGUCGUCCCUUGAUUACCUUGACUUCAAAACCCAGUACAUCUCAACUGAUGGAAUUGCUAGUUGAUUGUAUCAUCACAAAGUUGUAUCGCAAAUAUAUUAUUAGCAAGAAAAACAGAGCUAAAGCGUAAAUUGACCUAUAUUGCACUAUUAUUCACCUAAGUAUAUUAUUACACUUCAAGUAAUACUAUCAUACCAUGGACUAGGGGUGUACAUAGGUCGGGUUGGUUCAGAUUUUAUAAUUAUCAAACCAAACCAAUUGUGUCGGGUUAUUAAAUCUAAAGACCAAACCAAACCAAUAAAACUCGGAUUUUUCACUCUCGGUUUUUCUCGGGUUUUCUCGAAUUUUCGGGUUAUUCGGGAUUUUUCCGGUAAAAUCUUCGUAGAACAAAACAUAUAAAUUGUGCUCAAAAUAUUUCUUUAGUCUUAGUAAGAUACAACUAUAUAAAGUAUUUUCCAAGAAAAUAAUACAAAAUAUGAGAUAUGACAUGGCAUUAUCCUAAAAUAUUCAACAAUAAAGACAAUAAAAUUAUGUAAUAUAAAUAUUGCUAAUUAAAAAGUCAUAAUAAAAUUAAUAUAAUCUAAAAGUAUUAAUAGCCUGUUUGGCCAAGCUUCUUUUUGGCCAAAAGUAUUUUUUUUUGGGCCAAAAGCACUUUUAGCCAAAAAUUGAGGUGUUUGGCCAAGCUUUUGGAAGGAAAAAAAAGUGUUUUUGAGGAGAAGCAGAAGCAGUUUUGGAGAAGCAGAAAAAAGUAAUUUCUAGCACUUUUUUUAUAAGCACUUUUGAGAAAAAUACACUUAGAAGCGAUUUUUUAAAGCUUGGUCAAACACUAAUUGCUGCUCAGAAGUGCUUUUCAAACUAAUUAGUCAAACACAAACUGCUUUUCACCAAAAGUACUUUUAAGAAAAGCACUUUUGAAAAAAAAAGCACUACUCAAAAUAAGCUGAUUUUUGCAGCUUGGCCAAACAGGCUAUAAGUCAUUCUAAAAUAAGUAGACUAAUAAGGAAGUAUUAAUUACAUGACUAAACGCUAAAGAAAAAAUAAAAAUAGGUUAUACAUUUUUAUCUAAAUUAUUGCAAAACAAAAAAAAAAUUAUUCAAUACAUUCCCUAGUAUUGAAUUGAAUGUCUUUUGUUAGUAUUACUAUUGAUUUGAUUUUGGUUUGAGCUUUUGUUAGCACUAUUUAAUUUACUAAUAUUAAUGGCUAUAAAACUUAUUGGAACAUUCAAAAGUUCUAAGUUCAACCUUGAAAUAAUACCUCAAAAGAUAAAAUUAUGAAAUCUUUUAAGAUAUAUUUAUAAAUUACAUCACAAUAAGUAUAUUUAUAUAUUAAAUAUAUCUAAAAUUUAUAUAUAUGUAAUGUCGGGUUGGUUUGGUUCGAUUUGACUUUCUACAGUUAAAACCAAACCAAACCAAUUAUGGUCGGGUUUUUUUUCCAAUACCAAACCAAAUCAAACCAAACCAUAGCCGGAUUGUUUUCUCGAUUUGACUCGAAUUAUCGGGUUAGUGCGGUUUGUCGGUUUCGUUUGUACACCCCUAGCAUGGACAUAUGUUUUACACUUUAACUUGAAAAGAAACUAAAUUUUGUUGAGGAGCUUUAGCGGAUAGGAGACACAAUCAUCGCCCACAAAUACACAGUGACAGACAUCCUAUCAAGCUGCCUAUACACCUCGUUUUAUCAGAUAGGUUUUUAAGUUUCCUAUUCACUUAAUCAAUAGAUUAAAAAAAGAAAAUAUCAGGUCGAUAAUAUUUAUUUUUUGAAAAAANNNNNNNNNNNNNNNNNNNNNNNNAAACUACAAAUUUAUAAAAGAAAUCUAAUACAAACGCUCCUGGCCAAAAAGCAACGAUGAUAUUUGUACUUCGAAAAAGAAUCGCAUGCUAAUAUUUCCAAACGCAUAUAAACAAAUAAAAAGAAUUUUAUCCAAUAAGCCGCAAGCGACUGCUUUUAAGAAAAUAUAUAUAGCCUGGUAUGUAAAGGCAACAAAAAACAACUAUAGAAAUCCCUAAAUAAAGAAUUCAAAAAAAAAAAAAAAAAAACAGGUUGAACUCACCGCAAGCGAGAACCAAAAAGCCUUAGACCCCAUCCUCAAUUUCCCGUUCAAGUAUUUAACAGAUAAAUUGGUGAUGAGCAAAGGAGAUUAGAAUAGAGUUGGUUCGAGCUCCAGGAAGAAGAGGAGGUUGAAGGAACCGAACAACAGAAGAGGAAGAUAACAAAAUAACCUUGCAAUUCCUUUUAGCUAUUGCCAAGUCGCGCACUUGAUCCUCUCUCAAUCUAGAUGACAGAUAGAAUUUUCAGAGGAAGGAUCGAGAAGUUUGAUUAGCAAGAGGGAAUAAGAUGGGAAACGUGGCAACUUUCCGGAAGACACGUCUCACAGGAGUGUAGUAAAAGUCGAUAUUACCCUUAAUUUUAAUCUUAUUGACAAGAAGCAGCCGGGUCGAAACCUGC
rnacentral:lncRNA from 1 species